rnacentral:misc_RNA from 1 species
UAAUAAGUGUUUUAUGGCACCUUUUAAGUCCAUAUCCACCUUGUGUGCAAUGUCAGUCGAUCUUCUUCAUGGAGAUCGACCAAACAUCAACCUUUAUCUUUUAACUCUUUGUCUGAAAAAUAUCAUGAAUAAACAAUUCAAAAUA